rnacentral:rRNA from 1 species
GAUGAACGCUAGCGGGAGGCUUAACACAUGCAAGUCGAGGGGUAAAUGGCAGCAAUGCUAUGAGACCGGCGAACGGGUGCGUAACGCGUAUGCAACUUACCUUAUGCAGGGGGAUAGCCCGUGGAAACGCGGAUUAAUAUCCCAUAGAUCAGUGGUAUCGCAUGGUACAGCUGGUAAAGCUCAGGUGGCAUAAGAUGGGCAUGCGUCUGAUUAGCUAGUUGGUAGGUAACGGCCUACCAAGGCGACGAUCAGUAGGGGUUCUGAGAGGAUUAACCCCCACACUGGUACUGAGACACGGACCAGACUCCUACGGGAGGCAGCAGUGAGGAAUAUUGGUCAAUGGGCGGAAGCCUGAACCAGCCAUCCCGCGUGAAGGAAGAAGGCCUUAUGGGUUGUAAACUUCUUUUCUGUUUGAAGAAUAAGCUUGUCGAGACAAGUGAUGCCGGUAGGACAGGAAUAAGCAUCGGCUAACUCCGUGCCAGC